GCAAUUGUCCUUGCCCUCUUGCUGUAGGGACCAAUCGGAAAGCGGAAUCUGAGCCAGUCUGGGAAAGGACGAUUCUCAGUGGGCGUGGGUUGUGUUGCGUUAUCAUGGUUUAGCCAAUCAUAUAACUUCUCCAGUCGCGGUUUCCUGCGUUUGUAGAUGGAAGGAAGAACUUGUGUGCUUAGACCUGACGCUGGGAGGAGAUGCUGCCACCUAGGUUACUUGUAGGACCCUCUACGGCAACCUCCUUUGCCAGGAACUAUUUAGGAACAUCCUGCAGGAAAAUGUCAGCAAUGUGAUGGUGUUUGGAGGUGGAGCCUUCAGAAGUAAUUAAUGCCCUUGUAAGAAGAGGCCAGAGAGCUUGAGCACCUUCUUCCUGCCAUGUGAGGAGCCAAGAAGCCGGCUGUCUGCAACCUGCAAGAGGACCCUCACUAGAAGCUAACCAUACUGGCACCCUCAUCUUGGCUUUCCAACUUCCAGAACUCAAGACCAGACUUUGCCCUUCCUCCUCUCAGCCUACUCAACGUGAAUAUAAUGAGGAUGAAGACCUUUGUAAUGACCUUUUCCCACAUAAUGAAUAUAUCACCUUCCAGGGAUAAACUUUCUGCUUGUUCCUGUGAUACCAGAUACAGACAGGGAGUCAUUAAGCAGGCCAUUGGGAGACACACUUCUGAACACCACCACUGGAAAAUCACACAUGCUGAAAUGGGAGAGUUCCCUGACCCCCUUGCAGGAUGUGUGACAGGGGUGUGGCUCAUCUGUUCGGCUGGAGUGCAUACUCAAACCCCUUAUGAGACAAGGAGUAUGCAGACAGAAGGUGCAGGAACUGGGAAGCAAAAUAUAAACUAGUUAAUUUGAUCUCCAAGAGUUAAGCGGUUUUGAUAUUACUGACAGUAAUAUCAGCAGUGUUGUUGGAACCCCAUGAUCUCAUGAAUGAUGGAUAGCAACUGCUUACUGGACAUUGAAGCUUUAUGGCCAGCUGCCAAAAAAAUAAAUGCACCUUAAUUUUUAAAUUGAAUUAUAAAGCCAAAAAUAUCCUAUUGCUCUAUUCCUCUUAUUUUGGUGUUUACAUGUGACUUUAUAAUUUCCUUCACUUGAAAGAUUUUAACUUUAAAGGAAACUUUACUCUGAACGUUUAGGACAAUUCAUAGAUAAUCAAAUUGAUUAUCAUGUUUUCAAUGUUAAAUAUUACUUAUCAUAUGUCUUUUUACAACCUUCAGAAUAAGAAAGCCAGCUAUGAAAUACCAAGUCUUGACUAGUAGUGCCACCUAGCAUCACAAAGAAAAAGUUGUUCAACUACUUUGCAAAGCAUUGGAAAUUUAUCAAAUCAUCUAAUAUACUAUCUCCUUGAUCCUUAAUCCAGAGGAAAAUAAGCAGACCUGAUCAAUUAGAAGAAAUGUACACAAAACCUGUGUAAUUUUAGAGAUAGUAUACUACAUAUUAUGAAUGUUUGUGUUUUAGGAAGAUGUAGUUAUGAGAUGUAGCAGUAAGAUAUAAUUUCUGGUUUGCUGACUGAUAUGCUACCGGUUUUUCCUACAAUUUAAGAAAACAUAUUGGGAUUCAAAUGAAUAAAAAUAAUGUUUGUGUACUGAAA